rnacentral:rRNA from 1 species
AUUGAACGCUGGCGGCAGGCUUUACACAUGCAAGUCGAACGGUAACAGCACAUCGGUGGCUGACGAGUGGCGGACGGGGGCGUAAUACAUCGGAACGCGCCUGGAUCUAGGUGUUAACUACUCGAAAGGGUAGCUAAUACCGCAUGAGACCUAAGAAUGACAGCAGGGGACCUCCGGGCAUUGCGCUACUAGAGCGGCUGAUGGCAGCUUAGGUAGUUGGUGGGAUAAAGGCUUACCAAGCCGACGAUCGGUAGCUGGUCUGAGAGGAUGAGCAGCCACACUGGGACUGAGACACGGCCCAGACUCCUACGGGAGGCAGCAGUGGGGAAUAUUGGACAAUGGGCGCAAGCCUGAUCCAGCCAUGCCGCGUGCGUGAUGAAGGCCUUCGGGUUGUAAAGUGCUUUUGUUCGGAACGAAAAGCACUCUGCUAAUACAGGGGGGUCAUGACGGUACCGAAAGAAUAAGCACCGGCUAACUACGUG